GGUUUCUUGUUUAUUUAAGAAAUUUGACCUGCCCACUGAUAUGUAUUGGAGGGCCGCAGUAUUUUGACUGUGCGAAGGUAGCGUAAUCAUUAGUCUUUUAAUUGAAGGCUUGUAUGAAUGGUUGGACGAAACAAUUUCUGUUUUAUAAGAAUUUAUUAAAAUUUAGGUUUUGAGUAAAAAAUCUUAAAUAUUAUUAAGGGACGAGAAGACCCUAUAGAGUUUAAUAUUAUUUUGUUUUAUUUAUGUUGUUUUAAAAUGUGUUAUUGUUAUUAUGAAGUUUUAUUUAGUUGGGGUGAUUGGAAAAUAAGUGUAACUUUUCUUUUUUAUUAAUAAUGAUAAUUAGAUUAUUGAUCCAUUAAUAGUGAUUAUAAGAUUAAAUUACCUUAGGGAUAACAGCAUAAUUUUUUUUGAGAGUUCUUAUCGAGAAAAAAGAUUGUGACCUCGAUG
rnacentral:rRNA from 1 species